rnacentral:rRNA from 1 species
GAUGAACGCUGGCGGCGUGCCUAAUACAUGCAAGUCGAGCGAACGGACGAGAAGCUUGCUUCUCUGAUGUUAGCGGCGGACGGGUGAGUAACACGUGGAUAACCUACCUAUAAGACUGGGAUAACUUCGGGAAACCGGAGCUAAUACCGGAUAAUAUUUUGAACCGCAUGGUUCAAAAGUGAAAGACGGUCCUGCUGUCACUUAUAGAUGGAUCCGCGCUGCAUUAGCUAGUUGGUAAGGUAACGGCUUACCAAGGCAACGAUGCAUAGCCGACCUGAGAGGGUGAUCGGCCACACUGGAACUGAGACACGGUCCAGACUCCUACGGGAGGCAGCAGUAGGGAAUCUUCCGCAAUGGGCGAAAGCCUGACGGAGCAACGCCGCGGGAGUGAUGAAGGUCUGCGGAUCGUAAAACUCUGUUAUUAGGGAAGAACAUAUGUGUAAGUAACUGUGCACAUCUUGACGGUACCUAAUCAGAAAGCCACGGCUAACUACGU